UGAGGAAUAUUGGACAAUGGGGGAAACCCUGAUCCAGCCAUGCCGCGUGAAUGAUGAAGGCCUUAGGGUUGUAAAGUUCUUUCAGUAGUGAAGAUAAUGACGGUAACUACAGAAGAAGCCCCGGCUAACUUCGUGCCAGCAGCCGCGGUAAUACGAAGGGGGCUAGCGUUGUUCGGAAUCACUGGGCGUAAAGCGCGCGUAGGCGGACAUGUAAGUCAGAUGUGAAAUCCCGGGGCCCAACCCCGGAACUGCAUUUGAAACUACAUGUCUAGAGACUCGGAGGGGGUAGCGGAAUUCCUAAUGUAGGGGUGAAAUCCGUAGAGAUUAGGAGGAACACCGGUGGCGAAGGCGGCUACCUGGACGAGUACUGACGCUGAGGUGCGAAAGCGUGGGGAGCAAACAGGAUUAGAUACCCGUGUAGUC
rnacentral:rRNA from 1 species